rnacentral:rRNA from 1 species
UACGAAGGGGGCUAGCGUUGUUCGGAAUUACUGGGCGUAAAGCGCGCGUAGGCGGUGAUCUUUGUCAGAGGUGAAAUCCCGAGGCUCAACUUCGGAAUUGCCUUUGAAACGGGAUCGCUUGAGUCCGAGAGAGGAUGGCGGAAUUCCUAGUGUAGAGGUGAAAUUCGUAGAUAUUAGGUAAGAACACCGGUGGCGAAGGCGACCACCUGGACUGAUACUGACACUGAGGUGCGAAAGCGUGGGGAGCAAACAGG